UACGUAGGGGGCAAGCGUUGUUCGGAAUUACUGGGCGUAAAGGGCGCGUAGGCGGCACGACAAGUCGGAAGUGAAAGCCCGGGGCUCAACCCCGGGAGGCGGGUGGAUACUGUCAAGCUCGAGUCCGGAAGAGGAGUGUGGAAUUCCUGGUGUAGCGGUGAAAUGCGCAGAUAUCAGGAGGAACACCAAUGGCGAAGGCAGCACUCUGGGACGUGACUGACGCUGAGGAGCGAAAGCUAGGGGAGCAAACGGG
rnacentral:rRNA from 1 species